AUGGCGGGCUUCCCAGUGUUAAGACUUGUCUCCACCACUGCUACUCACAUGAACAGUGUCCAGUGUGAGAUGCAAUUGUUGGAGUCUGGGGGAGGCUUAGUGCAGCCUGGAAAGACCCUGAAAAUCUCCUGUGUAGCCUCUGGAUUCACCUUCAGUAGCUACUGGAUGAGCUGGAUCCGCCAGAAUCCAGGGAAGAAGCUGGAGUGGGUCGCAAACAUUAAUGAAGGUGGUGGUAGCACCAUCUAUACUGACGCUGUGAAGGGCCGGUUCACAAUCUCCAGAGACAAUGCCAAGAACACUCUGUACCUGGAAAUGAGUAGUCUGAAGCCUGAGGACACAGCCAUGUAUUACUGUGCUAAGACACAGUGA